rnacentral:tRNA from 1 species
GCGGGGAUCGGAUAGCGGUUAAUUCCGCCAGCUUGAGGGGCUGGUGCCUUAGUGGCUUCGGCGGUUCGAAUCCGCCUCCCCGCA